UGAGGAAUAUUGGUCAAUGGACGGAAGUCUGAACCAGCCAAGUAGCGUGCAGGAUGACGGCCCUAUGGGUUGUAAACUGCUUUUGUGUGGGGAUAAAGUUAGGGACGUGUCCCUAUUUGCAGGUACCAUACGAAUAAGGACCGGCUAAUUCCGUGCCAGCAGCCGCGGUAAUACGGAAGGUCCAGGCGUUAUCCGGAUUUAUUGGGUUUAAAGGGAGCGUAGGCUGGAGAUUAAGUGUGUUGUGAAAUGUAGACGCUCAACGUCUGAAUUGCAGCGCAUACUGGUUUCCUUGAGUACGCACAACGUUGGCGGAAUUCGUCGUGUAGCGGUGAAAUGCUUAGAUAUGACGAAGAACUCCGAUUGCGAAGGCAGCUGACGGGAGCGCAACUGACGCUUAAGCUCGAAGGUGCGGGUAUCAAACAGG
rnacentral:rRNA from 1 species